CCUCUAUUGAAAACACAGAUUCCCUAUUUGACCUUCAAUUUUAAACCUAAAGUGGGAUCGCCACCGUUUUGGUUCCUCAUCUUUAAGGUUUUCAAUCGCCCCUUUAUUUUAAACCUAAAGGGGGAUUGCUGUCUUUCAAAUUCCUCAUUUUCCGCCAAAUACGUUAAUCAGUUUCCAAAACUUCCACACAUCUUCUCUUCAGACGUUACAGUUUUCAAAUUUUCCACACAUCAUCUCUUCACUUCUCUUCUACCACCUGCAACCCCAAGGUCAGUUAAUGGUUUCAUAUGUGGUGUGGUACAAAUGGAGAAUAAACAACCAGACGACGACAGAAAACCUAAUCGGUGGAACGAUCACCAGUAAGUAAUUUCUAUGUUUUUUCGUUUUCAUGUUGUUCAACAAAUUGUUAAUCGACCAAAUUAUUUAGAGGUGGCAAAACGGGUCAUUGCAAAAAAAAGAAUUUUUACUGCCCCGGGUCAAGAUCGGUA
rnacentral:lncRNA from 1 species